AGAGCGAACGCUGGCGGCAGGCCUAAUACAUGCAAGUCGAACGGAUCCUUCGGGAUUAGUGGCGGACGGGUGAGUAACACGUGGGAACGUACCCUUUGGUUCGGAACAACUCAGGGAAACUUGAGCUAAUACCGAAUGUGCCCUUCGGGGAAAAGAUUUAUCGCCAUUGGAGCGGCCCGCGUCUGAUUAGCUAGUUGGUAGGGUAAAGGCCUACCAAGGCUACGAUCAGUAGCUGGUCUGAGAGGAUGAUCAGCCACACUGGGACUGAGACACGGCCCAGACUCCUACGGGAGGCAGCAGUAGGGAAUCUUGCGCAAUGGGCGAAAGCCUGACGCAGCCAUGCCGCGUGAAUGAUGAAGGUCUUAGGAUUGUAAAAUUCUUUCAGCGGGGACGAUAAUGACGGUACCCGCAGAAGAAGCCCGGCUAACUUCGCGCCAGCAGCCGC
rnacentral:rRNA from 1 species